GACGAACGCUGGCGGCGUGCCUAAUACAUGCAAGUCGAACGAACUCUGGUAUUGAUUGGUGCUUGCAUCAUGAUUUACAUUUGAGUGAGUGGCGAACUGGUGAGUAACACGUGGGAAACCUGCCCAGAAGCGGGGGAUAACACCUGGAAACAGAUGCUAAUACCGCAUAACAACUUGGACCGCAUGGUCUGAGUUUGAAAGAUGGCUUCGGCUAUCACUUUUGGAUGGUCCCGCGGCGUAUUCGCUAGAUGGUGGGGUAACGGCUCACCAUGGCAAUGAUACGUAGCCGACCUGAGAGGGUAAUCGGCCACAUUGGGACUGAGACACGGCCCAAACUCCUACGGGAGGCAGCAGUAGGGAAUCUUCCACAAUGGACGAAAGUCUGAUGGAGCAACGCCGCGUGAGUGAAGAAGGGUUUCGGCUCGUAAAACUCUGUUGUUAAAGAAGAACAUAUAUGAGAGUAACUGUUCAGGUAUUGACGGUAUUUAACCAGAAAGCCACGGCUAACUACGUGCCAGCAGCCGCGGUAAUACGUAGGUGGCAAGCGUUGUCCGGAUUUAUUGGGCGUAAAGCGAGCGCAGGCGGUUUUUUAAGUCUGAUGUGAAAGCCUUCGGCUCAACCGAAGAAGUGCAUCGGAAACUGGGAAACUUGAGUGCAGAAGAGGACAGUGGAACUCCAUGUGUAGCGGUGAAAUGCGUAGAUAUAUGGAAGAACACCAGUGGCGAAGGCGGCUGUCUGGUCUGUAACUGACGCUGAGGCUCGAAAGUAUGGGUAGCAAACAGGAUUAGAUACCCUGGUAGUCCAUACCGUAAACGAUGAAUGCUAAGUGUUGGAGGGUUUCCGCCCUUCAGUGCUGCAGCUAACGCAUUAAGCAUUCCGCCUGGGGAGUACGGCCGCAAGGCUGAAACUCAAAGGAAUUGACGGGGGCCCGCACAAGCGGUGGAGCAUGUGGUUUAAUUCGAAGCUACGCGAAGAACCUUACCAGGUCUUGACAUACUAUGCAAAUCUAAGAGAUUAGACGUUCCCUUCGGGGACAUGGAUACAGGUGGUGCAUGGUUGUCGUCAGCUCGUGUCGUGAGAUGUUGGGUUAAGUCCCGCAACGAGCGCAACCCUUAUUAUCAGUUGCCAGCAUUAAGUUGGGCACUCUGGUGAGACUGCCGGUGACAAACCGGAGGAAGGUGGGGAUGACGUCAAAUCAUCAUGCCCCUUAUGACCUGGGCUACACACGUGCUACAAUGGAUGGUACAACGAGUUGCGAACUCGCGAGAGUAAGCUAAUCUCUUAAAGCCAUUCUCAGUUCGGAUUGUAGGCUGCAACUCGCCUACAUGAAGUCGGAAUCGCUAGUAAUCGCGGAUCAGCAUGCCGCGGUGAAUACGUUCCCGGGCCUUGUACACACCGCCCGUCACACCAUGAGAGUUUGUAACACCCAAAGUCGGUGGGGUAACCUUUUAGGAACCAGCCGCCUAAGGUGGGACAGAUGAUUAGGGUG
rnacentral:rRNA from 1 species